UGAGGAAUAUUGGUCAAUGGGCGGAAGCCUGAACCAGCCAAGUAGCGUGAGGGAUGACUGCCCUAUGGGUUGUAAACCUCUUUUAUAAGGGAAUAAAAUACGGGACGUGUCCUGUUUUGCAUGUACCUUAUGAAUAAGGACCGGCUAAUUCCGUGCCAGCAGCCGCGGUAAUACGGAGGAUGCGAGCGUUAUCCGGAAUUAUUGGGUUUAAAGGGUGCGUAGGCUGUUUGUUAAGUCAGGGGUGAAAUACCGCAGCUCAACUGUGGAAUUGCCUUUGAUACUAGCAGGCUUGAAUACUGUUGCCGUGGGAGGAAUGAGUAGUGUAGCGGUGAAAUGCAUAGAUAUUACUCAGAACACCGAUUGCGAAGGCAUCUCACGAAGCAGGCAUUGACGCUGAGGCACGAAAGCGUGGGGAUCAAACAGGAUUAGAUACCCUGGUAGU
rnacentral:rRNA from 1 species